UACAGAGGUCCCGAGCGUUGUUCGGAUUCACUGGGCGUAAAGGGUGCGUAGGUGGCCUGAAAAGUUUGAUGUGAAAGCUCAGGGCUUAACCCUGAAAUGGCAUUGAAUACUGUCGGGCUGGAGGUUUGGAGGGGGGACUGGAAUUCUUGGUGUAGCAGUGAAAUGCGUAGAUAUCAGGAGGAACACCGGUGGCGAAGGCGGGUCUCUGGGCCGUAACUGACGCUGAGGAGCGAAAGCGUGGGGAGCGAACAGG
rnacentral:rRNA from 1 species